CGCCGUGUAAAAUUAAAAGGAGACUAUGGAGACUCCGAUGCUGCUGCUAUGGUGAUUCGCAACAAGUCAAAGACAUCUAUUGGCUAUCCAGAUUGGUGGGAUCAGAAUCGAGGAUCACAAAGAAGGAAAGCUAAGAAUUCCCUGAUUUCUGCUAUUGCUGAAACCAAAACAAGUGAGGACAAUGUUGAAUCAACUUCAACAUUAGUAGCAACCACAAGCAAGGAAGGAUAUCCAAACGAAGCAGACGAUUGGCUGUGGUAUUAGGCGAGGAAAUUUGUACUACUUGGACAUGCAAUCGAAUACUUCUUCCAAGUUGCAUCAUGCGUUUGCAAUGGAUGGUCCAAAGAAGGAAAAAAUGAAGCAGAAAUCUGGUUACAACAUAGACGACUAGGGCAUGCUUCUUUUGGCUACCUAAAAAAGUUAUUUCCUGGUUUGUUUAACAACAUUGAUGUUUCUAUUUUUCGUUGUGAUGUUUGUGAACUUGCCAAGAGUCAUCGAAGCUCUUUUUCAUCAAGU